GUGCUUACACAUGCAAGUCGAAGCGAAAGGCCCUUCGGGGUACUCGAGUGGCGAACGGGUGAGUAACACGUGGGUGAUCUGCCCUGCACUUUGGGAUAAGCCUGGGAAACUGGGUCUAAUACCGAAUAGGACUACGCUCUUCAUGGGGUGUGGUGGAAAGCUUUUGCGGUGUGGGAUGGGCCCGCGGCCUAUCAGCUUGUUGGUGGGGUAAUGGCCUACCAAGGCGACGACGGGUAGCCGGCCUGAGAGGGUGACCGGCCACACUGGGACUGAGAUACGGCCCAGACUCCUACGGGAGGCAGCAGUGGGGAAUAUUGCACAAUGGGCGCAAGCCUGAUGCAGCGACGCCGCGUGAGGGAUGACGGCCUUCGGGUUGUAAACCUCUUUCACCAGGGACGAAGCGCAAGUGACGGUACCUGGAGAAGAAGCACCGGCCAACUACGUGCCAGCAGCCGCGGUAAUACGUAGGGUGCGAGCGUUGUCCGGAAUUACUGGGCGUAAAGAGCUCGUAGGUGGUUUGUCGCGUUG
rnacentral:rRNA from 1 species